rnacentral:lncRNA from 1 species
AGAAAAGUUGGCGAGGACCUCUGGAUGGAUUGUGUUUAACUCUGAGUUUUUAUCUUUUUCUUACACAGUAACCCUUCCCUUAUUAAAAACAUGCAGAGCAGCCACGCCUACUGCACACCUCUCAAUGCAGCUUUACAGGUAAGAUUAACGGCCAUCCCCCAGCCGCAGCGCAGACACAGGGCUCCCCCACUCAUUUCAAAAUAUAUUAGCCUCGCUCUAAUUAGAUAUUAAAUUUUAAUUCCGUUAAACUUUUUUCUUAAGUGCACAAAGCAUCGUUCUCCCCGGAGGCAAACACAUCGGGCUGCUUCAGCAGGAGCAGGAUGCUCAGCAUUUUGAAUAUUGUGGCAAAAAAAAAAUUAAAAGUUCACUUAUUAAUAUUUAUCAGCAGUAUCAUAAUUUCCAUCCUCUUAUUUCAGAAUUUCACUUGAGGCAAAAAUACCACAAGUGUAAUUACUCUAGCACAGCUAUUAAUGUGCUGGAUGACAGGGCCAGCAUGUCACAUGACCUUCCAUUGUUCCCAGGUUUAAAGAGAAAGUGGGGCUUUAUUAAAGUCCAUUCCAACACCUUUUCUUUCUAUGGGGGUGGGGCCUGGGUUUGUUUUCUCCCUUGUAAAGUCAACCAUCUAGACAACAGAAAGCAUAAGAAAAGUGGAAGUGGCCAUCCAGUUGUUCAGGAAAACCUAACCAUCGUAGACUGGAGUUUCCUACUGACUGGUAAAUCACACACUACCUCAGCGAGAGAAUCUUAGAAGGGGUGAGCGACAGGAGGAACAAUCUGUGUGUCCAGCCAGGCUUUAGGUUUCUUGUUCCUCAUGGUUACCACACCACCUACUGAUUUCUAAAAUUAAUGGGGUAUCUGGUAUUGCUUCUUUUAAAUACCUGACGCCAUCCUCAGGUCUCCCAUAAGAGCUCAGACAGCCACUGUUAGUCUUUUGGGCUUUGGGUUUUUUGUUUGUUUGUUUUGGUUUUGGUUUUUUAACCCACCUUUAUUAGUCUAGAAGACAUACCUAAAAGAGUUUUGAAACAUUUGCAUUACGUACUCUGUAGACAAAUCAAACGUUAGUUAUCACACACCCCCCCCAGCACUGUUGAGUGUGACUACUGUAGCACCCCUGAACUGGUUGUUGGAUUCUGUGAUACCUCUGGCUGUUCUGAGGGACCAUAACAUGACAAGUGAAGGCAGACACAGAGAAACAAAUGCCCCCAAAAGGGAUGGCAGUGGGAAGAAGGCUUGGAGCGCGUGGCAUGAUGGGAACUAGAUGGGGGAGGGGAGGCAGUGACAGCAGCCCGAUUCUCACCACUUGCUAAGCAAAUAUUGACUGAGCCCCUAUUCUGUGUGCCUGUCUUCCCAGCUCACCCAGCGCAUCCUGGGGCUCCUUGUGGAUAACACGCCCCUGACACAGUUGAACGCAGACUCGCUCAACUGAGCAUCUCAGUAAUUCUAUUUAUUUCUUCUUAGCAUGAGCUAAAUUUACUGGGAGAAACUACUCUCUGCGUUUCUUUUAAUUACUCGUAGUUUACACAGUUACUUCACAAGAGUAAAUGAAAGCCGGCUUAUACCCUGCCACUGUAAAUACCAUGCAUUAGUAACUUAUUUUCCCUGGAGUCUUGUGAAGUAUGAAUUUAAAGGCAGCUCUAUCUGGAAUGGUAUUAAAAUUACAAGCACAUUUUACAUUGGAUUCCCUUUACUAUGUGACUAAUUUCAAUUAGCGUGCUGUAUCGUUACAGAUGCGUUCACGCUUCAUCUCUGAGACUUUUGUUUUCCUACCCCUCUCCACGCUUCUGUGUUUCCCCUACUCGCCCAAAACCAGCCCGCGGCUUUCCAGGAACAAUUUAAGGAGUAUCUCCUUUGCCCCUCCUCUUGAAUUUGGAUUCCCCACCAGUAGACAGCCAGUCAUACAAGACAGCUUCCUGCCAUGCAAAUUAAAUAAAGAUCCCACCAGCAGGGCCUUCCCUUUCUUUAUCACCCACUUCCAUUUUUCAAGGCAAGUAAAAAUAACAGCGCAACAAUAUCAUCUUAAAAAAAAUUACUAGAGCGACAUAACGGCGUGAUAUACAAUUUAUAAAAUAGGACAGCAGAAUCUACUACAGAAAUAAAACAUGGGGCUCGGGACAGAUUGCAUUAUGCUCUGAAAAAGUGAGGUAACUAAGGGUAACCAUAAAGCUUCGUAUUUAUAGACUGCCUUUUCCCCGGGGAGCGCAGAGCAGUUAACAUUCCAAAAGCCUCGGUACUUAGGGACCCAAAGCGUGCCAUCACUUGAGAACCUCUGUGUUGCGGGUAGAGGUGCUAGUUUGAUAUGAAGCCACACACUGUGCCCAGGAUCAUUUCUAUCAUUAAGUCUAUUAUAAACAUGGUGGCACAUCUGCUCCUAGGAGCAUCAGCUACAGGAAGGACCUGUUUGAAGGUGAUAAUUUGGGGGCUGCUCUGAUCCUUCACUCUGCAAAGGACUACUCAAGAGACACGGCAGUGACCCAGGUCUCAGGAUCUUACUGUAGCCCAGUGGCUACUGUUUUGUUUAAAGGAACAAGACUGGUUCUCUGUACGUAUUAUAUUAUAAUACCUCUUAUAUUAUGUCUGAGAGGAAAGGGACCAAGACAAGGGUUUACUCAUCAUACUUGGAAAAUCAGAAAGAAUAAGCAGAUACUUGCUCAUCUUAAUAGGCAGUCCUAGAACUGUUUCCUACAAGUCAGUCAGGGGCUUCGGAAUCCAAUAAAAUACUGUGGUAGCCUCGGUUCCAGCCUCAGUUCCAUCUUGACUCUUGAACAGCGCAGUUGUCCCGUGGAAGCAGAUUCCCAUGGUACAUCCACAGUGAGAGGGCCACUCAGCUGGCAGUCCAAGCAGAACUUACAUGGCAGGGAAAUGUGACCACUGUGUGGUCCCACAUAAGGCAGCUGAAGAUGGCAGCCUAGCUGCAGCUGCCAGUAAUAUUACUGUGCCAACUUCCCUGCUCAGAAAGAAUAGAAAUGCCUUAUUGCAAUUAUAAAAGAUGCAUUCAGAAAGUGCUGGAUGCAAACAGAUGAUCUGAUAAACCAUCGAGGAGUGGGAAAUGGUCACUGUACUGGGAAAUCAUGAGGUGCCACCCCCACCCCACCCCCUUUACUUUUAAAAAAGGAAGCAGGUGAUUCCAUAGGGGAAAGAGGGAGCUGCCGAGAGCAUGCUCAGGGCAUCUCUCUGGGAAGUACUUCAGACACUGGGUCUAUCCAGGGAGCAAGCCUGCAGCUGACUAACAAGCAGACUCCCCGCAGCCCAGCUUCUCUCCUCCUCUCCCUUUGUUUCUGGCUCAUACCUUCUCUUUGGUGCCAGCUUUUCUAGAAUAGUUAGGACUCUUCCAUGACGGGCCAACUGAAGCCACUCUGCCAGAUUGUCUUGUGAUCAUACUCUCUCUCAUUAGGAUGGAAAACCAGGCAUAGUGUAGUCUGCAAGAAGACAAUUUUGAUAAAUCUUCAUCUAAUUACAGCUGCCUCUUUUCCCAAGUCUGUCCUCUUGAAUAAUAAAAUGAAAAGUCACUUGGGCACACUCCCUGCACAAGUGAAAACAAAUGGGGUUUCUUCAGUCCGGUGGUAUUGUGACAACUGUCCACAAUGCACACAGGGUGGCCAUCACGCUUACGUCGGGAUGACAGAAAACGAAGAGUAUUCUACCAGACUUUAGUUUGGAGUGGGUUUUAUUGGAGUUGGGGGGCGGUUUACAUACUUUUUUUGCUGGCACUCAUUUGGAAUGGGAUGGCUUUGUCACCUUUAAUAUGGAUAUACUUAGUCAUAAAGGAAAUAAGAUUUAGCCUCCCCCCCCCCUUUUUUUCCUUCCUUCCUUCCUGGAGAGUUUUCUACACAUCCAGACUUCUGCAUGACUAGUCUGAGGCUGAGAGAUUGUGUGAUGUUACCAUCGUCUGGUUAUGUCAGCCUUCACUCAGCAGGUUC